GAUUUACUUCGGUAAUGACGUUAGGAAAGCGAGCGGCGGAUGGGUGAGUAACACGUGGGGAACCUGCCCCAUAGUCUGGGAUACCACUUGGAAACAGGUGCUAAUACCGGAUAAGAAAGCAGAUCGCAUGAUCAGCUUUUAAAAGGCGGCGUAAGCUGUCGCUAUGGGAUGGCCCCGCGGUGCAUUAGCUAGUUGGUAAGGUAAAGGCUUACCAAGGCGAUGAUGCAUAGCCGAGUUGAGAGACUGAUCGGCCACAUUGGGACUGAGACACGGCCCAAACUCCUACGGGAGGCAGCAGUAGGGAAUCUUCCACAAUGGACGCAAGUCUGAUGGAGCAACGCCGCGUGAGUGAAGAAGGUUUUCGGAUCGUAAAGCUCUGUUGUUGGUGAAGAAGGAUAGAGGUAGUAACUGGCCUUUAUUUGACGGUAAUCAACCAGAAAGUCACGGCUAACUACGUGCCAGCAGCCGCGGUAAUACGUAGGUGGCAAGCGUUGUCCGGAUUUAUUGGGCGUAAAGCGAGCGCAGGCGGAAGAAUAAGUCUGAUGUGAAAGCCCUCGGCUUAACCGAGGAACUGCAUCGGAAACUGUUUUUCUUGAGUGCAGAAGAGGAGAGUGGAACUCCAUGUGUAGCGGUGGAAUGCGUAGAUAUAUGGAAGAACACCAGUGGCGAAGGCGGCUCUCUGGUCUGCAACUGA
rnacentral:rRNA from 1 species